ACACUGUUCAUGGGUUACCGCGGCUGCUGGCACGGAGUUAGCCGGUGCUUCUUCUGUGAGUGAUGUCCUUCCUGCCGGUUAUUGACCCGCAGGCCUUCUUCCUCACUGAAAGUGCUUUACAACCCGAAGGCCUUCUUCACACACGCGGCAUGGCUGGAUCAGGGUUGCCCCCGAUUGUCCAAUAUUCCCCACUGCUGCCUCCCGUAGGAGUCUGGGCCGUGUCUCAGUCCCAGUGUGGCUGAUCAUCCUCUCAGACCAGCUACGGAUCGUCGCCUUGGUGAGCCGUUACCUCACCAACCAGCUAAUCCGACAUAGGCUCAUCCGAUAGCGCGAGGCCCGAAGGUCCCCCGGNUUUCCCCCGGUAGGGCGUAUGCGGUAUUAGCCUGGGUUUCCCCAGGUUAUCCCCCGACUACCGGGCAGAUUCCUAUGCAUUACUCACCCGUCCGCCGCUCGCCACCNGGGAGCAAGCUCCCCGGUGCUGCCGCUCGACUUGCAUGUGUUAGGCCUGCCGCCAGCGUUCAAU
rnacentral:rRNA from 1 species